rnacentral:tRNA from 1 species
GAGGGUAUAGCUUAGUGGUAGAGUGCAUGCUUAACAUGCACAAGGUCCUGGGUUCAAUCCCCAGUACCUCCA